rnacentral:rRNA from 1 species
UACGAAGGGGGCUAGCGUUGUUCGGAAUUACUGGGCGUAAAGCGCACGUAGGCGGAUAUUUAAGUCAGGGGUGAAAUCCCAGAGCUCAACUCUGGAACUGCCUUUGAUACUGGGUAUCUUGAGUAUGGAAGAGGUAAGUGGAAUUGCGAGUGUAGAGGUGAAAUUCGUAGAUAUUCGCAGGAACACCAGUGGCGAAGGCGGCUUACUGGUCCAUAACUGACGCUGAGGUGCGAAAGCGUGGGGAGGCAAACAGGGAUUAAGAUAUCC